rnacentral:rRNA from 1 species
AUUGAACGCUGGCGGCAUGCCUUACACAUGCAAGUCGAACGGCAGCACGGGAGCAAUCCUGGUGGCGAGUGGCGAACGGGUGAGUAAUAUAUCGGAACGUGCCCAGUAGUGGGGGAUAACUGCUCGAAAGAGCAGCUAAUACCGCAUACGACCUGAGGGUGCAAGGGGGGGAUCGCAAGACCGCUUGCUAUCGGAUCGGCCGAUAUCAGAUUAGCUAGUUGGUGGGGUAAAGGCCUACCAAGGCAACGAUCUGUAGUUGGUCUGAGAGGACGACCAGCCACACUGGGACUGGGACACGGCCCAGACUCCUACGGGAGGCAGCAGUGGGGAAUUUUGGACAAUGGGCGCAAGCCUGAUCCAGCAAUGCCGCGUGCAGGAAGAAGGCCUUCGGGUUGUAAACUGCUUUUGUCAGGGAAGAAAUCCUCUAGGUUAAUACCCUUGGGGGGAUGACGGUACCUGAAGAAUAAGCACCGGCUAACUACGUGCCAGCCGCCGCCGGAACAC